rnacentral:lncRNA from 1 species
AGGCCCCUUCCUUGCCUCUUCCAGCUUCUGGUGGCCCCAGGCCAUCCCUGGCUUGCAGAUACGUGGCUCCCAUCUCUGCCUCGGUCUUCACAUGGGGCCUCCCGUCUAUGUCUCUCUGUGUGUCCCGUCCUCUUUUUACAGGGACACCAGUCAUUGGAUAAGGGCUAAUGAUCCUAAUCCAGUGUGAGCUCAUCUUAAUUAAUUACAUCUGCAAAUGCCCCAUCUCCAGUUGCAGAGUCAAACCCAUCCUGGUAUCAACCUGCUUUUAGUACUUCCAGAUUCGUAAGUCAAGAAAUCCUCCUUCCUGCUUGUACCAGUUGGCAGUGGGUUUUCUGGCAUUUGUACCUGCAACCACCAUUCUACUCUCUGUUUGAAUGAGUUUGAAACAUCCACAUCUGAGUGAGGUCAAUGCCGGUGAACAGAGAGACAGAGGGAAAGAAUUUCAGAAUAUCCUUAAAAAUCGCAGCACCUGGCAGAUCCUGCCUCACACCUCAAGGGCCUGUGUGGGGUCCUAGGUUCAUCCCUGAUCCAUCUCAGAGGUGCGGCGAUCACUGAUCCAUCUCGGAGACUUUUGAGCUUGGACCUGACAUUUGCCACUUCCUCUCCUCCUCACUGGAGACAGAGUGCAAUCUGUUUCUGCAAAGCAAGAGCACUUUAAGAGGGUGGAAGGGCACUCAUCUGUGUCAGGGUCAUGUCUGUGUGCAGAUCCCCCAAGGUCAUUGUUGAGAGAAAGGGGAAGAUGUUGGGGAGGCCGGGCAAGCAUGUGCCGGCUACCCUCACACUUGCACAUAGCAUAUGUCAAGUCACCUAAAGGAAACCUGAAUGAUAUGAUCAGAGACUCUGCAUAGGAUUACUUACUGGUGGUGCCCUGGGUUGAACACAGAGGUCGCCAAAGCAGGACCAGCCAUCAUGGCGAUAGAGGCCCCAUGCAGAUAAACCCUGUGCAUGAAAAACCUAGGAUUUUAGAACAAAUUGAGAAGGAGGUCAGGCAUUCAAGACCAGCCUGGCCAACAUGGUGAAACCCCGUCUCUACUAAAAAUA